CAUAACAAAUACCUUAACAGCAUUGCAUUAGCGCGUGUGAAGUGAAAGUAGGCCAGUGAACUUCUGCUGCUAAGCAACCAAACUUUACACAAGCAAAGGCACAAGUUCGCUUGCGAGGAUGUGCUCUGUUUUUAACAAAUGAGGGACUUUAAAGCCAGCGUAACUGCUGCUGGGACACUGAGCACCACUGCGCCAGAGGAAUCCAACGCCACACUCCAGCACGCGUGAGGAAACACAGUCUCAAAAAUGGGCAAAUCUUUCCUUCCCAGACCCCAUGUUCCCUAUUUCCAGCAAGCCCAGCGAUAAACCAAACAAUAUGGUCAAGUUAAAUACAGUUCACAUCAGUCCUUUGAUGGGCUGCUCUGAGUUGCCACAGUGUCCAGUGGUCAUGUGGAUUCCCAACCCG